AAGCUCCCCAGGCUGUUUAGCAUAGACCAGAUACCCCAGGUAUUCCAUGAGCAAGGCAUCCUGUUCGGCUACCGCCAUCCACAGAGUUCUGCCACUGCCUGCAUCCUCAGCCUUUUCCAAAUGACCAAUGAGACUCUCAACAUUUGGACUCACUUGCUGCCCUUCUGGUACCUUCUGGCCCCCUCGACUGGCCUGUCUCCUUCAGGAGCCCUGGAGACCAGGGUGUCUUAAAACACAGCUAGUGUUGAGAGGGCUGAGAUUCUGUGCUGGGAUUUGGGGAUCCCCCGUGGGUACACGCGGGUGAAGGGAGUGUGUGACAGAGGGAAGAGACAUUGGGUGUGCCACUGGGAUGACCUUUAAGGCAUGGACUGGGGUAAGAUUUGAGGGGAAAUCCCAAAAGUGCCUCAGUCCUUCCCUGCUCCCUGCUCCGGUGCCUGAUAUGAUAGCAUUUACCUUCAUCUCCGGUCCUGGAGACUUUCCAGGUCUUCCAGGCGCCCUGUUAAAAUGUCACUAGUUUGAGCAA
rnacentral:sRNA from 1 species